ACAGAGAAGAAUUAAAGACACGCUGGGGCUGAGCCAAGAGAGAACUUCCCCUUGAUGUAAUCAGCAAAUAAGAAAGUUUAGAUGUGUGACUAUGGACAUCUAUCUCUUUGGACAUCAAAAUGUUUUCUACAGGAAAGUACUGGACACCCGUUCAGUAAGACCCAGCCCACUGUUUGAUGCAGCUUUGAGCAGCUAGAGGAGGAAGAGUUUCCCUCUACUCGCUGACGGAAAAGGAGAGGAGCAAAUAAGGAGUUAGUCAGUCAUAGCACAGAAAGUCAACUGCACCGGAAGAGGCAGUAAGUGUUUCUUACUUUCCAUGGAAGGGAUGUUUGCAUCUUCAUGAAUCCAGGGACAAAGGAAAGUGAGUAAGCAACGUGGUUUGCCAUUUAUUUUUUGAUCUGUCUAGGAGGAGG
rnacentral:lncRNA from 1 species